rnacentral:SRP_RNA from 1 species
CGGCGGGUCUCAGGCGGGGGGCUAGGGGUCCCCUGAGAGGCAGGAGGCCUCGACCGUAAACCCUCUAUAGGACGGGCCGAGAGCCGAGGUGAGGCGUAGAAGAUCACCGGGCGCCUCCGGACCCUCGAGCAGUGAGUAUCCGUCCUCUGGGGCCGGCGGUCACGGAGCGUCCUCCGUAGGGAGGGCGUAACCGUGUUUACCAGGCGAACCUGGCCAGGCCCGGGAGGGAGCAACCUAAGCUUGGACGUUCGGCGCUCAGAGGGGUGCGGGUACGAGUUAGAGGUCUGGAGGGGACGGUGAAAACUAUACGUCGAGCCUCGGUGACCCGCCG